rnacentral:rRNA from 2 species
GCGUUGGCCCAACUGAUUGAACGUGCUUGCACGGACUUGACGUUGGUUUACCAGCGAGUGGCGGACGGGUGAGUAACACGUAGGUAACCUGCCCCAAAGCGGGGGAUAACAUUUGGAAACAGAUGCUAAUACCGCAUAACAAUUUGAAUCGCAUGAUUCAAAUUUAAAAGAUGGCUUCGGCUAUCACUUUGGGAUGGACCUGCGGCGCAUUAGCUUGUUGGUAGGGUAACGGCCUACCAAGGCUGUGAUGCGUAGCCGAGUUGAGAGACUGAUCGGCCACAAUGGAACUGAGACACGGUCCAUACUCCUACGGGAGGCAGCAGUAGGGAAUCUUCCACAAUGGGCGCAAGCCUGAUGGAGCAACACCGCGUGAGUGAAGAAGGGUUUCGGCUCGUAAAGCUCUGUUGUUAGAGAAGAACGUGCGUGAGAGCAACUGUUCACGCAGUGACGGUAUCUAACCAGAAAGUCACGGCUAACUACGUGCCAGCAGCCGCGGUAAUACGUAGGUGGCAAGCGUUAUCCGGAUUUAUUGGGCGUAAAGCGAGCGCAGGCGGUUUGAUAAGUCUGAUGUGAAAGCCUUUGGCUUAACCAAAGAAGUGCAUCGGAAACUGUCAGACUUGAGUGCAGAAGAGGACAGUGGAACUCCAUGUGUAGCGGUGGAAUGCGUAGAUAUAUGGAAGACACCAGUGGCGAAGCGGCUGUCUGGUCUGCAACUGACGCUGACGCUCGAAAGCAUGGGUAGCGAACAGGAUUAGAUACCCUG